rnacentral:lncRNA from 1 species
CAAUUUUAAAAAAUAUAAAAAUAUACAUAAUAUAUCUGAAUUUGGAUCAUUUUGAACUAGCUGCCUAAUGUUUCAAAAUUUUACUAUCGAAUUUUUCAAUUUGUUUAAUUUGAAUUGAUCAACAGUAUUUUGACUCCGCAAUUUAAUUAGCUAACUACUUACUUUAAUAAAUUUAUAGUUCCAAGAAUUAUAUAUAGUAUGCUAACUAAACUUGCAAUGAUAAACAACGUAUUGAAAUUUUAAAACCAAAAUAUCGUUGACAGAUUCAAAUCAAAUAAAUUAAAAAUAUUUUUCGAAAGAUUGAAAAUUAAUUAAAAUGGUCCAUAAUUUAAGUA